GAUGGUUGAGCGCCGAUAUUUAUUAAUCCAAGGGGUAGGCAAAGGAAGGUCGGGGACAGGCAAGAGUUCAUAAACCAGUACCAGUCCAAAACAGUACCAGGGCAGUCUCGAGGUCAGGCCAGGCAGGGGUUCAGUAACCAGAUCAGAGUCCAAACAGUACAAGGGGAUAGGCAGGCUUGAAGACAGAACAGGCGGGUACGGAGUCAGGACAGGCAAGGGUCAAAACCAGGAGGACUAGAACCAAAAGAGACUGGGAAAAAAUAGGCGCAAGGAAAACAGCUGCUUGACUUGGCAAACAAGACGAACUGGCAAACAAGACGAACUGGCAAACAAGACGAACUGGCAAACAAGACGAACUGGCAAACAAGACGAACUGGCAAACAAGACGAACUGGCACAGAGAGACAGGAAUCACAGGGGAUAAUAUAUACACAGGGGAUAAUAAGCGACACCUGGAAGGGGUGGAGACAAUCACAAGGACAGGUGAAACAGAUCAGGGUGUGACAAGGCUAUGGUCACUGAGUCUGUCCAUAGUCAAGGAUUUCUUCAUUUGGGGUGAGUCACAGCAGUCAGGUAUUCUGCCACUGUGUACUCUCUGUUUAGGGCCAGAUAGCACUCCAAUUUGCAGAUUUUUUUGGUUGAUUCUUUCCAUUGUGUCAAAUAGUUAUCUUUUUGUUUUCUCAUUUGGUUGUUUCUAAAUGUGUUUCUAGUCCUAGUGCUCUGUGGGGUUUAAAAUGAACAGCACCCCAGAACCAGCUGGCUGAGGUGACUCUUCUCUAUAGGACCUGAGCCCUAGGACCAUGCCUCAGGACUACCUGGCCUGAUGACUCCUUGCUCUACCCAGUCCACCUGGCCGUGCUGCUGCUCCAGUUUCAACUGUUCUGCCUGCGGCUAUGGAACCCUGACCUGUUCACCGGACGUGAUGCCUGUACCAGACCUGCUGUUUUCAACUCUCUAGAGACAGCAGGAGCGGUAGAGAUACUCUGAAUGAUCGGCUAUGAAAAGCCAACUGACAUUUACUCCUGAGGUGCUGAUCUGUUGCACCCUCGACAACCACUGUGAUUAUUAUUAUUUGACCCUGCUGGUCAUCUAUGAACAUUUGAACAUCUUGGCCAUGUUCUGUUAUAAUCUCCACCCGGCACAGCCAGAAGAGGACUGGCCACCCCUCAUAGCCUGGUUCCUCUCUAGGUUUCUUCCUAGGUUCUGGCCUUUCUACUGAGUGUUUCCUAGCCACCGUGAUUCUUUCUGUACAGCACUUUGAGAUAUCAGCUGAUGUAAGAAGGGCUUUAUCAAUACAUUUGAUUUGAUCUGAUACUGUCUGGUCAUAAAGAGUAUGACAUUAUUGAUGCCCGUAGCAUGGACUGCAAGGGAAGCCAAUGAGCAUUGGGCCUCGAUAGAUAGAAAAGUAAAUAAUAAUAGCCAAUCAGCGUUGAGCUCAACUGUGAAUGGUCGUGGCACACACCACAUUUUUUUCAAGGGAAUCCAGUUUGGAUUUGGCUUCUCUUCUAUCACAUCGCAUCAAGAGAAAUAUGUCAAUGACAUAAACAACAUGAAUUGUUGCAUCUCAUUGUGUUGUUGUCCUCCGGUGGCUAGCUUCAUUUACAUUUUACAUUUUUUUGUCAUUUAGCAGACGCUCUUAUCCAGAGCGACUUACAGUAGUGAAUGCAUACAUACAUUUCAUGCAUUUUCUUUUUUAAUUGAAUUUGUUUUAUUUUACAUUUUUCUCCGUACUGGCCCCCCGUGGGAAUUGAACCCACAACCCUGGUGUUGCAAACACCAUGCUCUACCAAAUGAGCCACAGGGAAGGCCACCUAGCUAGUUAAAAUUGUCCCUUUA
rnacentral:lncRNA from 1 species